GCGACUUUAUGCCAUUAUCUCGAUUACUAUAACUUUUUUAAUUGAAAGUUUCCCUACCCAGUUUUGCAAGUAUGAACGUAUGCUGUUUCUAACAUUUUCCUGGUAGAUCGCUGAAAAAAUAAAGUGAAAUUGACAAAAUUAUCUUUUACGGGAUAUUUACUACGACUCGUAAAGUGAAAUCAAGAAUGGCCAUCCGGUUAGUACGUCAAGCAAGCAUGACUUCCACCUUCAUUAUUCAUAGAACAGGAAUACUUUUUCAUAGUGUCAUGUCGAGGGAAAGGCGAAUACGAUAGAGAAUUGGACUUGCUGAGGUUAACCUUAUAACUUUAAGUGUCCAAUUUAUAUCGUACUUAAUGCGAUAAGAUAGCGCGAGGGAAUGCUUUGAAUAAAGUCAGAAGUAGAUAUGUGAA